rnacentral:snRNA from 1 species
GUGCUCACUUCAGCAGCACAUAUACUAAAAAAUUGGAACAAUACAAAGAAGAUUAGCAUGGCCUCUGUGCAAGGAUGACAGGCAAAUUCGUGAAGCGUUCCAUAUUUUU